rnacentral:rRNA from 1 species
UACGUAGGGACCAAGCGUUGUUCGGAUUUACUGGGCGUAAAGGGCGCGUAGGCGGCCUGACAAGUCACUUGUGAAAUCUCUGGGCUUAACUCAGAACGGCCAAGUGAUACUGUCGCGCUAGAGUGCAGAAAGGGCAAUCGGAAUUCUUGGUGUAGCGGUGAAAUGCGUAGAUAUCAGGAGGAACACCGGUGGCGAAGGCGGUUCUCUGGGCAUUACCUGACGCUGAGGAGCGAAAGUGUGGGGAGCGAACAGG